rnacentral:rRNA from 1 species
GGGGCGGCUAUACAUGCAAGUCGAGCGGACAGAUGGGAGCUUGCUCCCUGAUGUUAGCGGCGGACGGGUGAGUAACACGUGGGUAACCUGCCUGUAAGACUGGGAUAACUCCGGGAAACCGGGGCUAAUACCGGAUGGUUGUUUGAACCGCAUGGUUCAGACAUAAAAGGUGGCUUCGGCUACCACUUACAGAUGGACCCGCGGCGCAUUAGCUAGUUGGUGAGGUAACGGCUCACCAAGGCGACGAUGCGUAGCCGACCUGAGAGGGUGAUCGGCCACACUGGGACUGAGACACGGCCCAGACUCCUACGGGAGGCAGCAGUAGGGAAUCUUCCGCAAUGGACGAAAGUCUGACGGAGCAACGCCGCGUGAGUGAUGAAGGUUUUCGGAUCGUAAAGCUCUGUUGUUAGGGAAGAACAAGUGCCGUUCAAAUAGGGCGGCACCUUGACGGUACCUAACCAGAAAGCCACGGCUAACUACGUGCCAGCAGCCGCGGUAAUACGUAGGUGGCAAGCGUUGUCCGGAAUUAUUGGGCGUAAAGGGCUCGCAGGCGGUUUCUUAAGUCUGAUGUGAAAGCCCCCGGCUCAACCGGGGAGGGUCAUUGGAAACUGGGGAACUUGAGUGCAGAAGAGGAGAGUGGAAUUCCACGUGUAGCGGUGAAAUGCGUAGAGAUGUGGAGGAACACCAGUGGCGAAGGCGACUCUCUGGUCUGUAACUGACGCUGAGGAGCGAAAGCGUGGGGAGCGAACAGGAUUAGAUACCCUGGUAGUCCACGCCGUAAACGAUGAGUGCUAAGUGUUAGGGGGUUUCCGCCCCUUAGUGCUGCAGCUAACGCAUUAAGCACUCCGCCUGGGGAGUACGGUCGCAAGACUGAAACUCAAAGGAAUUGACGGGGGCCCGCACAAGCGGUGGAGCAUGUGGUUUAAUUCGAAGCAACGCGAAGAACCUUACCAGGUCUUGACAUCCUUCUGACAUCCCUAGAGAUAGGACGUCCCCUUUCGGGGGCAGAGUGACAGUGGUGCAUGGCUUGUCGUCAGCUCGUGUCGUGAGAUGUUGGGUUUAAGGUCCCGGCACGAAGCGCAUCCUUGAAUCUAGCUUGCCAGCAUCAGUUGGUCACUCUACGUGAACUGGCCGGGUGACCAAA